rnacentral:rRNA from 1 species
AUUGAACGCUGGCGGCAGGCCUAACACAUGCAAGUCGAACGAGUGGCGGACGGGUGAGUAAUGUCUGGGAAACUGCCCGAUGGAGGGGGAUAACUACUGGAAACGGUAGAUAAUACCGCAUACCAUCGGAUGUGCCCAGAUGGGAUUAGCUUGUAGGUGAGGUAACGGCUCACCGAGGCGACGAUCCCUAGCUGGUCUGAGAGGAUGACCAGCCACACUGGAACGUAGACACGGUCCAGACGCCUACGGGAGUGAGCAGUGGUGAAUAUUGCACAAUGGGCGAAAGCCUGCUGAAGCCAUGCCGAGUUUAUGAAGAAGGCCUUCGGGUUGUAAAGUACUUGCAGCUGGGAGGCUUUACCCGCAGAAGAAGCACCGGCUAACGCCGUGCCAGCAGCCGCGGUAAUUC